UGACAGUACUCCUACGGGGAGGCAGCAGUGGGGGAAUAUUGCACAAUGGGCGCAAGCCUGAUGCAGCCAUGCCGCGUGUGUGAAGAAGGACCUUCGGGUUGUAAAGCACUUUCAGUCGUGAGGAAGGUAGUGUAGUUAAUAGCUGCAGUAUUUGACGUUAGCGACAGAAGAAGCACCGGCUAACUCCGUGCCAGCAGCCGCGGUAAUACGGAGGGUGCGAGCGUUAAUCGGAAUUACUGGGCGUAAAGCGCAUGCAGGUGGUUUGUUAAGUCAGAUGUGAAAGCCCGGGGCGUCAACCUCGGAAUAGCAUUUGAAACUGGCAGACUAGAGUACUGUAGAGGGGGGUAGGAAUUUCAGGUGUAGCGGUGAAAUGCGUAGAGAUCUGAAGGAAUACCGGUGGCGAAGGCGGCCCCCUGGACAGAUACUGACACUCAGAUGCGAAAGCGUGGGGAGCAAACAGGAUUAGAUACCCUGGUAG
rnacentral:rRNA from 1 species